UACGUAGGGUGCGAGCGUUGUCCGGAAUUAUUGGGCGUAAAGAGCUUGUAGGCGGUCUGUCGCGUCUGCUGUGAAAAUCCGGGGCUCAACCCCGGACUUGCAGUGGGUACGGGCAGACUAGAGUGUGGUAGGGGAGACUGGAAUUCCUGGUGUAGCGGUGAAAUGCGCAGAUAUCAGGAGGAACACCGAUGGCGAAGGCAGGUCUCUGGGCCACUACUGACGUGAGAAGCGAAAGCAUGGGGAGCGAACAGG
rnacentral:rRNA from 1 species